rnacentral:rRNA from 2 species
CUGUGCCAGCAGCCGCGGUAUACAGAGGUCUCGAGCGUUAAUCGGAAUCACUGGGCUUAAAGCGUACGCAGGCGGACCGGUAAGUACUUUGUGAAAUCCCUCGGCUCAACCGAGGAACUGCUUGGUAUACUGCCGGUCUUGAGCAUGGUAGAGGCGGUCGGAACGAUAGGUGGAGCGGUGAAAUGCGUAGAUAUCUAUCGGAACGCCGAAGGUGAAGACAGGCCGCUGGGCCAUUGCUGACGCUCAGGUACGAAAGCGUGGGGAGCGAACGGGAUUAGAUACCCCGGUAGUCCACGCCCUAAACGAUGUGCACUAGAUCAGGGAGGUUCUGAUACCCUCCGGGUCGAAGCAAAAGUGUUAAGUGCACCGCCUGGGGAGUACGGUCGCAAGGCUAAAACUCAAAGGAAUUGACGGGGGCUCACACAAGCGGUGGAGCAUGUGGCUUAAUUCGAAGCAACGCGAAGAACCUUAUCCUGGGCUUGACAUGUACGGAUUAGCAUAUGGAAACAUAUGUGACGCGGUUUACCGUGGAACGUACACAGGUGCUGCAUGGCUGUCGUCAGCUCGUGCUGUGAAGUGUCGGGUUAAGUCCCUCAACGAGCGAAACCCCUGUCGUUAGUUGCCAGCGAGUCAUGUCGGGGACUCUAACGAGACUGCCGGUGUCAAACCGGAGGAAGGUGGGGAUGACGUCAAGUCCUCAUGGCCUUUAUGUCCAGGGCUGCACACGUGCUACAAUGGCAUGUACAAAGCGAUGCAAUACCGCGAGGUGGAGCAAAUCGCACAAAGCAUGCCCCAGUUCAGAUUGCAGUCUGCAACUCGACUGCAUGAAGUUGGAAUCGCUAGUAAUCGCGGAUCAGCUACGCCGCGGUGAAUACGUUCCUGAGCCUUGUACACACCGCCCGUCAAGUCAUGGAAGCCGGGAGCACCCGAAGCCGCCUCGAUUCAGAGGUGUCUACGGUGAGAUCGGUGACUGGGACUAAGUCGUAACAAGGUAGCCG